AGCGAACGCUGGCGGCAGGCUUAACACAUGCAAGUCGAACGGGCACUUCGGUGUCAGUGGCAGACGGGUGAGUAACACGUGGGCACGUACCUUUUGGUUCGGAACAACUGAGGGAAACUUCAGCUAAUACCGGAUAAGCCCUUACGGGGAAAGAUUUAUUGCCGAAAGAUCGGCCCGCGUCUGAUUAGCUAGUUGGUAGGGUAAUGGCCUACCAAGGCGACGAUCAGUAGCUGGUCUGCGAGGAUGAGCAGCCACAUUGGGACUGAGACACGGCCCAAACUCCUACGGGAGGCAGCAGUGGGGAAUAUUGGACAAUGGGGGCAACCCUGAUCCAGCCAUGCCGCGUGAGUGAUGAAGGCCCUAGGGUUGUAAAGCUCUUUUGUGCGGGAAGAUAAUGACGGUACCGCAAGAAUAAGCCCCGGCUAACUUCGUGCCAGCCGCCGCCGUAA
rnacentral:rRNA from 1 species